rnacentral:piRNA from 1 species
UGCACCGUGGGUGGUAAUGCAGUGGGAGCCUU